rnacentral:rRNA from 1 species
UAGGGAAUCUUCGGCAAUGGACGGAAGUCUGACCGAGCAACGCCGCGUGAGUGAAGAAGGUUUUAGGAUCGUAAAGCUCUGUUGUUAGAGAAGAACGUUGGUAGGAGUGGAAAAUCUACCAAGUGACGGUAACUAACCAGAAAGGGACGGCUAACUACGUGCCAGCAGCCGCGGUAAUACGUAGGUCCCGAGAGUUGUCCGGAUUUAUUGGGCGUAAAGCGAGCGCAGGCGGUUCUUUAAGUCUGAAGUUAAAGGCAGUGGCUUAACCAUUGUACGCUUUGGAAACUGGAGGACUUGAGUGCAGAAGGGGAGAGUGGAAUUCCAUGUGUAGCGGUGAAAUGCGUAGAUAUAUGGAGGAACACCGGUGGCGAAAGCGGCUCUCUGGUCUGUAUCUGACGCUGAGGCUCGAAAGCGUGGGGAGCAAACAGG